CAAUAGCGUAUAUUAAAGUUGUUGCAGUUAAAAAGCUCGUAGUCGGAUCUGAGGCGCCGGCGGGCGGUCCCUCUUCGCGAGGGUCUACUGCCCGCUCCGGCCCUGACCCGCCGGCGAGCGGCCGGUGCCCUUGACUGGGUGCCGGCAGCGGCCGGAACGUUUACUUUGAAGAAAUUAGAGUGUUCAAGGCAGGCGGUUCGCCUGAAUGGUGGUGCAUGGAAUAAUGGAACAGGACCCCGGUUCUAUUCUGUUGGUCUUCGGAACUCGAGGUAAUGAUCAAGAGGGACGGACGGGGGCAUUCGUAUUGCGGUGUGAGAGGUGAAAUUCUUAGAUCGCCGCAAGACGGGCUGCUGCGAAAGCGUCUGCCAAGAACGUUUUCAUUGAUCAAGAACGAAAGUCAGAGGCUCGAAGACGAUCAGAUACCGUCCUAGUUCUGACCAUAAACGAUGCCGACUAGCAAUCCGCCGGAGUUGUUUGCAUGACCCGGCUGGCGGCUUCCGGGAAACCAAAGUCUUUGGGUUCCGGGGGAAGUAUGGUUGCAAAGCUGAAACUUAAAGGAAUUGACGGAAGG
rnacentral:rRNA from 1 species